rnacentral:rRNA from 1 species
ACACGGACCAGACUCCUACGGGAGGCAGCAGUGAGGAAUAUUGGUCAAUGGGCGAGAGCCUGAACCAGCCAAGUCGCGUGAAGGAUGACGGCCCUACGGGUUGUAAACUUCUUUUGUCAGGGAGCAAUUGAGUCCACGUGUGGGCUUAGCGAGAGUACCUGAAGAAAAAGCAUCGGCUAACUCCGUGCCAGCAGCCGCGGUAAUACGGAGGAUGCGAGCGUUAUCCGGAUUUAUUGGGUUUAAAGGGUGCGUAGGCGGAAUAUCAAGUCAGCGGUAAAAAUUCGGGGCUCAACCCCGUCGUGCCGUUGAAACUGAUGUUCUUGAGUGGGCGAGAAGUAUGCGGAAUGCGUGGUGUAGCGGUGAAAUGCAUAGAUAUCACGCAGAACUCCGAUUGCGAAGGCAGCAUACCGGCGCCCAACUGACGCUGAAGCACGAAAGCGUGGGUAUCGAACAGGAUUAGAUACCCUGGUAGUCCACGCAGUAAACGAUGAAUGCUAAUUGUCCGGAGGGAUUGACCUCUGGGUGAU